rnacentral:rRNA from 1 species
UCCUACGGGAGGCAGCAGUGGGGAAUAUUGGACAAUCAGGAAAGGGGAAUCCAGCCAUGCGGCGUGUGUGAAAAAGGUCUUUGGAUUUAAAGCACUUUAAGUGGGAGGAAGGGCAGUAAAUUAAACUUGGUUUUGACGUACCGACAGA